UCAACCAGUCCAUCUACAUGUUAUCAGGGUACGACCCUCAACCAGUCCAUCUACAUGUUAUCAGGGUACGACCCUCAACCAGUCCAUCUACAUGUUAUCAGGGUACGACCCUCAACCAGUCCAUCUACAUGUUAUCAGGGUACGACCCUCAGCCAGUCCAUCUACAUGUUAUCAGGGUACGACCCUCAACCAGUCCAUCUACAUGUUAUCAGGGUACGACCCUCAACCAGUCCAUCUACAUGUUAUCAGGGUACGACCCUCAACCAGUCCAUCUACAUGUUAUCAGGGUACGACCCUCAACCAGUCCAUCUACAUGUUAUCAGGGUACGACCCUCAACCAGUCCAUCUACAUGUUAUCAGGGUACGACCCUCAACCAGUCCAUCUACAUGUUAUCAGGGUACGACCCUCAACCAGUCCAUCUACAUGUUAUCAGGGUACGACCCUCAGCCAGUCCAUCUACAUGUUAUCAGGGUACGACCCUCAACCAGUCCAUCUACAUGUUAUCAGGGUACGACCCUCAGCCAGUCCAUCUACAUGUUAUCAGGGUACGACCCUCAACCAGUCCAUCUACAUGUUAUCAGGGUACGACCCUCAACCAGUCCAUCUACAUGUUAUCAGGGUACGACCCUCAACCAGUCCAUCUACAUGUUAUCAGGGUACGACCCUCAACCAGUCCAUCUACAUGUUAUCAGGGUACGACCCUCAGCCAGUCCAUCUACAUGUUAUCAGGGUACGACCCUCAACCAGUCCAUCUACAUGUUAUCAGGGUACGACCCUCAACCAGUCCAUCUACAUGUUAUCAGGGUACGACCCUCAACCAGUCCAUCUACAUGUUAUCAGGGUACGACCCUCAACCAGUC